GAUGAACGCUGGCGGCGUGCCUAAUACAUGCAAGUCGAGCGAAAGGACGAGAAGCUUGCUUCUCUGAUGUUAGCGGAGGACGGGUGAGUAACACGUGGAUACCCUACCUAUAAGACUGGGAUAACUUCGGGAAACCGGCGCUAAUACCGGAUAAUAUUUUGAACCCAUGGGUGAAAAGUGAAAGUCGGGCUUGCGGUCACUUAUUGGCGGCUUCGCGCUGCAUUAGCUAGUUGGUAAGGUAACAGGUUUCCAAGGGAAAGAUGCAUAGACGACCUGAGCGGGGGGUCGGCGACACGGGAACUGAGACACGGUCCAUACGCCUACGGGAGGCAGCAGAAGGGUAUCGGACGCAGUGGGCGAGAGCCUUACGGAGCGGCGGCGCGUGAGUGAUGAAGGUCUUCGGAGCGUAAAACUCUGUUUUUAGUGAAGAACAGAUGUGGAAGGAACUGUGCACAGCUUGACGGUACCGAAUCAGAAAGCCACGGCUAACUACGUG
rnacentral:rRNA from 1 species